CAGGCCAUAAAAACCUAAGGCUCAAAACUCAUCCCUUCUAUCAAAUCGGGCAGAUCUUGGAGGCCCAAAACCCUUUAUGUGAAGCCCAAAACAAGGGUAAUGGGAGAAACCGAAUCGUCAGCCGCUCCACCUUCAUGGAUGUGCAUGCGUCGUUUGGAUUCCCUAGUGGCGGGCAGCUGUGCUAGGAAUAGGGACAAACCUUGGGAACAUCCUAAGAGAAUAUGGUAUAUCAUGUUUACCAAUGACAAAAAAACUGCUAUCCUUUAUUGUUGUCAACCAAUUAAUUAAUAAUGAAAUGAAACUACCAUUACUAACAUCAACAAUAUAAUGAAAACUUGUGAUCUGCUCCAAUUCCUCCUCAUUCAAACAUUUCCACUCUUUGCAUCUUCUUUACUCAGCUCCGGCGGCAAGGAACGGGAACCGCCUACGAGUAACUACCCUUCGAAAAACCACAAAUUAAACAUGAACCCAAGCUUAUUGUAAACCAUGAACAUGGAUCUAUAUCUAUCCUUCUCUAAAAAUCCACCCUUUGUUCAGAUCGGUACUUCAAACUCUACUUUGCCAAUCUUAAAAAUGCGACUUAUCCUUAGAACCAAAAAAACAAACAACAUUCGAUUCUAAAACAUAAACAAGAAGCAUCGCAAAACAAGUAUAUGGAAGGAAACGAAUUAAAGCUCAGCUUAUUCAAAAUUCAAAUCGAAAAAUCAAGUUCAAUCACGACCUAUUAUGCUCAUGCGUUUGUUCUAACACUCUGAAAUCCAGAAAGAAGAAAACAUCGGUCGGAAAUUUACUUAGACCGUCAGAUUCAAGUGAGCGCUCCCCUUUUCUUAUUUUUCCGGCUCAAUUAGCUUCCUUCUUCAAAUUCUCUUCUGCGCUCGAAUCGAACCGUCUAAGGUUUAGCAAUCAGGGUCCCCUUUAUAGAUGGAGAGUGAGGUCCUCAAAUCAUGUGUGGAUCAUGAGCUGGCAGAGGAUCCCAGAAUUAUUCUGUUAGGUUUCAAUAUCCUCAGAUUUGGUGGGGACCAAAUAUAUGACAUGUAUGAUUUUUCUCUCUAUAGUGUAACCUUCAAAUUUUCUAGAACAAGUGGUCCCCUAGACUCAAUUCUCACAACUGGAAAUUUUACUACCCAGAUUUGCUAUUCUAUAAUAGGUCUUUUUACUGCUGUAAGAAUUUGAUUCCCACUUUUUACUAUCGUGUGCUUUCAACCCAUAUUUUCGAACUGUGUUUGCAGUAUGUAUACGGGGCAAUAUUACUAUCGUGUGCUUUCCACCGUCCUGUACUUGGCUUGGAUCUCAUACAAGUGCCUUGCCUUGACUUAUACUCUCCUUGUUGUUACGUUAUGCUUGUUACUGCAGAUUUGCAGGAUUUCACAUAGGUGACAUAACAAGUCCUUAUUCACUGCCUUGGUUGUGAUGUGGCUUAUGUUUUGGCUUAAGUUAUUGCAUGACUUGCAGCAUUUGGCAAUACUAUUCUGUCUUACAAUACCGAUCCACUGCAGAUUUGUUCGUCCUGCAUUGUUGGUUUAGGAUGUUUGUUGCCUGCGUUUGGGACUAAGUCUUCUUGUUGGAUUGCUUUGUUUUGUAAAAAUGAAUUGUGGUUGUAACACAUUCUUGGCUCAAUGCAGGAUGGUCUUUGUUGACUGAUAUAUCAGGGUGAUUUCGGCAAGCCGAUUGUGAUUUUUCUGUGGGAAGCUUCUCCAAUAGGCACAUUCGUCCUGCCUGCUUUGAUCCUUCCUAGCUCUUAUUUGUGCAUUAGUUCUUUGGUUUUAUAAAACUAAAUCGUGUAUUUGUCUGUAUGAUCCUAAUGUAUGUACAUUCAAUUCAAAUUGGUGGUUUGGUAACAGAUUUUGGUCGUGGUUCAGACUUUUAUUUAUGAAAACCAGUAGCAUCCAUUAUGCCUUUUGCUUUGGAGUAACAUAACUUAGCUUUUACCUAUGCAGUUAUGAUUUGUGGUUCUCACGGUCUUAUGGAUGCAUUGCAGGAGAUAGGCGUUACGAAGCUUAUGUUGGUGGUGUGUUACACGACAUGGUUAUCACUCACAUCAUGACUUGGUUUGUUUUCCUUCUUGCUAAUGUUUAUGGUCAUGGCAUUAAGACGGGAAAUUGAAGCAUCCAUACACCAAUGGUCCAACCAAGAAUCUAAAUAGGAUUCAAAGACGUGAACUAGAACUAGGAUGGGGAUUUGGGGAUGAAAAGGGUUGGAUUUGAUCUUAGGCAACGGUUACCAAACUUUGUAACUUUCAUAAUAACCAUCAUAUAGAUUACAAUGAAUGAUGCUUCCAUGAUUAUUUGAUAUGGUCUGAUUGUGUUAACAACACUAAAAGUCAAUUUGUAAUCAACCUGAUAAAACAACAUUUCUGAUCUUUAAUUUAAUCUCUUUUUUUUCUUUUAA